AUGGGGCAAAUUUUACCAGACAGCCAAAUUUUACCAGACCUGCAAAGAAAAGCUGGUACUCACACUGCAGAAGAAGAGCUGGUUUCCCUUGGGGGCUUUGAAUAAUACCACCAGUGGUCUUACGGGUGAAGUGUGGUUCAGGGCCUGUGCAUAUUAGUGGGCAGCACUUAGUAGCUGUGGAAGAAGAUGCAGAGUCAGAAGAUGAAGAGGAGAAGGAUGUGAAACUCUUAAGUAUAUCUGGAAAGCGAUCUGCCCCUGGAGGUGGUAGCAAGGUUCCACAGAAAAAAGUAAAACUUGCUGCUGAUGAAGAUGAUGAUGAUGAUGAGUUUGAUGAUGAGGAUACUGAAGAAAAAUCUCCAGUGAAGAAAUCUGUACGAGACACUCUAGCCAUAAAUGUACAGAAAUCAAACCAGAAUGGAAAAGACAAAACCAUCAACACCAAAGGGUCAAGAAUCCUUCAAAAAGCAGGAAAAAACUCCUAAAAUGCCAAAAGGACCUAGUUCUGUAGAAGACAUUAAGGCAAAAAUGCAAGCAAGUAUAGAAAAGGGUGGUUCUCUUCCCAAAGAGGAAGCGAAGUUCAUCAAUUAUGUGAAGAACUGGUUGAGUGUGACUGACCAGGAGGCUAUUCAAUAUCUCUGGCAGUGGAGGAAGUCUCUUUAAGAAAACAGUUUAAACAGUUUGUUAAAAUUUUCCGUCUUGUUUCAUUUCUGUAACAGUUGAUAUCUGGCUGUCCUUUUUAUAAUGCAGAGUGAGAACUUUCCCUACCAUGUUUGAUAAAUGUUGUCCAGGAUCCAUUGCCAAGAAUGUGUUGUCCAAAAUGCCUGUUUAGUUUUUAAAGAUGGAACUCCACCCUUUGCUUGGUUUUGAGAAUGUAUGGAAUGUUAUGAUAGGACAUAGUAGUAGCAGUGGUCAGACAUGGAAAUGGUGGGGAGACAAAAAUAUACAUGUGAAAUAAACCCAGUAUUUUAAUAAA